GCUGGGCAUGGUGGCGCGUGCCUGUAAUCCCAGCUACUCAGGAGGCUGAGGCAGGAGAAUUGCCUGAACCCAGGAGGUAGAGGUUGUGGUGAGCUGAGCUUGCGCCAUUGCACUCCAGCCUGGGAAACAAGAGCGAAACUCUGUCUCAAAAAAAAAAAGAAAGAAAUUCCUGUUUAUUUAUUUAUUUGAGAAGGAGUUUUGCUCUUUUUCUCCAAGCUGGAGUGCAAUGGGGUGAUCUCAGCUUGCUGCAACCUCUGCCUUCUGGGUACAACUUAUUCUCCUGCCUCAG
rnacentral:SRP_RNA from 1 species